rnacentral:sRNA from 1 species
ACAGCUACCUUCGAGGGUAUCUCCUCCGC